UUGCGUAGGUGUUGUGCACAGA
rnacentral:miRNA from 1 species